GAUUUACUCCAUGAAAAGGGCACUGGAUUAGGUUCCAUGUUGGUAGGCCCCAGGAGGCUGCAGGGAAACUGCCUAGAGGAAUCUGGAUGUCCUACCUCACCCCAUACCCUCACCUGCCCUAGAGCCAGGGGGGCAGGAGUGAGCCAGCACUGAGGGUGGAGAGCCCGCCCACCUCUUCUCGACCUCACUUCCUGGCAGCAUACAACUUCCGGGGGCCUGCCGGCAGCUUCCGGGGCCGCAUGCAACUUCUGCCAUGGCAGGAACCUAGGUACCCAGAUGUGGAAAGGUGAGUUAGGAGCAUGCCCAGGCCAGUGGUUGCUGAAUGCCACAGGCACUGAAGAUGGGGAUAUGGAAAGGCAGCCAUACUCUGAUGCCACAGCUGUUGGCACCUGUCUGGAGAGUUUCAGGGCUCUUCUGGGUGGGCUGUGCCUGCCUCAAAGUCCUGUACUUCCAACAGGUAGCCAGGAGGGCACCUGUAGAUCUGAACAUGUCAGUGAACUGCCCGAAGGCCUGUGAUCCCACUGUCCCAUCUACCUUUGGAAGUGGUCAUCCUGAGGCUUGCUUUUCUGCUCCUCUGCAAAGGAUUCAGGAAACAGGGACACAGCUCCUCCCCACCUCGUGCCAGGAUGACAGGGUGGACUAUCCUAAUAGCGGGCCUCAGACCUCGGGCCUGCACAGUGCAGCCCUGGGAGAGGACAAGUCACAUCUUUUUCUGAGGAUCCUUCCUCUAGAAUAGAGAACAAUUCUAAAAUAGGACAGAGGCCAGAUGCUCUCUGCAGAGAGAUGAUAGAUACUCCUUACAUGGCUUUGAGAAGGGUCCUUACUGUACUGAGCAGGCAGGAACCUUUUUCUAUUCCCUUUUAUAUGUAACAGCACCUAGUAUCAUAUUUGGCACAGGAUUCCCAACAAGCGGGCUUACAUGCAUCUUAUUUUUGAUGAAUACAAUUGUUCUGUGUAUGUAUCUCUUCAGGUUUCAAAGAAGAUAUUAGCUUUUCUCACGUACAUUGGAUAAAAAAAAAAGUAACACAAAAUGAACAUUCACAAACCUAGCAUAUAGUUCAAAAAACCUUCUUUGUGUUCUCCCCUGAUCAUGGCCUCCUGUGAAAUCAUGAAUUUUGUAUAUAUUACACCCAUAAUUGCUCAUAUAUAUACAUAACUCCAAUUAGAUUGUUUAGCUUCUACAUAUGCUGGCUUUGUUUAGGAGUGUGUCAUACAGUGGUUACAAAUAGUGGUUGGAGUCAAGCCCAUUGUGUUGAAAUCUCAGCUGAAACAUUUACUGGCUAUGUGACCCAGCAUCACUUUUUAUUCUCUCUGAACAUUAGUUUCUUCUUCUCCAAAUGUCACAGUCCUGCCCACCUCAUCUUCUUCCUGGGACUUCCCUGAGGACUUCGGGGACAAGAAAAUGUUAAGGAACUUGUGCAUUUCUUUUCUGGUCCAUGGUUGACCCUCAGCUUAGGUUAUCUCCACUUUCCUCUGCCCCAGAUACUUCUGGGGGUCCCAUGGAGUCCCCUUGGCAACCUAUACUCUUGGGGCCUGCUCCAAGCCUUCAGGCUUUUAAGAUAGGGACAGAAGCCCUGGACCGAGCAGGAUCCUACACUGCAUGUAACGUGUCCACACAGGAAAGAUGAACAAGCCCGAGAGCAGACAGGGGAUACCAGCCCCAGAUCAUUAAUAGUAAGUUGCUGGGCCAUGGCAGGAAGUAGUUCAUCAUUUCCAGAUGAGCGGAGAACUGUCCUUCCUCCUCUGUGCCAGCAAGGACGACGCGGUGGCCCUGCCAGACCUCCCCCUCUCCCGGGCCUAAUAGAGAGCAGUGACCAGGCCGCUGACUCAAAGCAAGGCCCUAAACUUGGAAGGAGCCUGGAGGGCUAGGCCGGAAACUCGGAGAGAUAAAGAGAAGCUUCUGGAACAAGAUGAGAAGAUGAACAAGCUGUUUGCUGUGAGCAUGGACAUGAUGUUCCAGAAAAUUCACUUCAGCUGCCAAAGUAACCCAUUUGGAAUUCACAAGGAACCCACUGGGGGUCCACAGAUGGGUCCGGAGCUUGUAUGUGACGCUCCACAGCAAGCCUGUGCCGAGGGUCCCCAAGCUCAGGGCACAGAGAACUGGUGGCUCAGGAAGUACAGUGGUACAUUGGUUCAGUGAACAAUUUGGUUCGCAAACAGAAGCAUUUGGCAAAAUUUUGUUCUUGUUUGCGAACUGUGCAUCUGGUGACUAACAGGACCACACUCAUCUGUCCUGCACACACAUGAACGUGGCUGUCUUUCUCAGAAUCGUGGAAUGAAUUAAGUUGUAGGAGCCAGGAGACUGGCUUGGCUUCCAACCAACACCUCUGUGAUCCCACGCUCAGGCUGGCCCUGUCGUACCAUCCUGUGUCUCUCACGUGACAGGCCACCACAGACAGGGCAGCCUGGCCAGUAGUGUCUUCAUCAUGAAUGUGCUACUGCCUUUCAGCACCCAUAGUCCUGGUGGCACUGGACAGACGGGGCAUCUGACCUUCCUGUUGUCUGUGAUCUCUGUGGUUGUAGUGAUCUCAGGUUAGCUGAGGUCUGUGAAAGACCAUCUCAACCAUCCUCCCAAGGCAGCAGUCCUGCAGGGAAAGACUAGGCUGCGAAUUCUCAGAGGAGAGGAGAGAGGUGGCUUUGCAGGAAGGAGCAGGGAGAGGUAUCUGCACCUUUCUAAUGUGAGGACUGGAGUUGAAUCUCCAAUCAAAGGCUAAGAAAAGGAGCAAAAAAGAAGAAAGAGCACGGAGCAGUGGCAGGAAAGAAAAGACCACGAGAAAAGGUCAGGAAAAGGAGCAGAAGACGCUGCCGUGUGCUCUUGAGAUGUGCCUGGAGGUGAAGAUCCCUGCAAGCCGUGGGGUGGCUCCUGGCCUGGGUGGGGUGGGGGCAGAGGGCUGCUCAGAUGAGCUGCUUUCCCAGAAGAGCCCUAGGAGUGGGGAGAGGGGCUGUUGGUUUUGCCUGACCAUUGCCCUGGAGAUAAGAGGUGCAAGAACAAGAUUUAGGGGAUUCUUUAACCUUAAAUUUAAAGCUCGCUAUUGUCACAAAACUGCUGUAAAAUCAGUAAUUUAUUCGUAUCUGUGGAAAGUAGGUAUUUAGGGAAACAACUUAAACACUUGGCCACAUUUAUUUUCUUGUUUCACCUGUAGCUCACUCUGUCUUUGCCUUAAUCCUCCUCCCUGAAAAAUGCAAAAGAAAAUUCAGAUGUUAUACCUUUGCGUCCAUUAAUGCUGAACUACACAUCUCUAAGAGAAAGGUAUUAACAGCAGUUUAGCAUUAUCACACUAGGAAUAUGAGAAGAUCCCAUAAUAUCACCUAAUAUUUAGCCAGUGCUCGAAUUUCCCUGAUUAUUUUCCAAUUUGAAUAAAACAAGAAGUAAAAGACUGCAAAGCUUAUGUGGUGCACGCACGCACACACACACACACACACAGUUCUCUCUCCUCGCUCCUCUUGUUUAUUAUUUAAGAAACUGGAGGGUGCUCCGUGGAAUUUCCCCGCUGUGGAUCCGAGUCCCACCUGCCGGGGUCUGGUUCUUCUGUCUUGCUCUGUGUGAAAUGUGAUCGGUUAGGGGGUUGGAUCAGCCUAGGUUUGUUCUGGAGGAAAUGUCCCUGUUAGCUGCUGCAUCUCCAGGGCAUGGGGCGGCGGGCUCCUGUCCUGCGUGGGUGUGCAGGCUCCCCGUGGAAAGUCACUCUUCCACUUCUGCCUAAUGAGUUUGCCAGCUGCUCGUGGGGUCACCGUCGUUGUCACUGUUUACUGGGCUUGGGAGAUGGCGAUUUUGUUCCUCAUUUGUUACCUAGAGUUUUCCUUAGAAACAGCUUUUGACCUGAUCAGUUUCCCAAAGACAGUUUGUGUAAGAGCCCAGGUCGGUGCUUUUUCCUUUCAAUUAGUUUUGGGAAUAAUGAUUUGGUGUGUGGUCUUUCUGUUACCACGCACUUAGGGAUUCUAACUUCUUUGAUGUUUUUGAACUCAUUGCAGGUUUUUUCUUUCUGAUGCUUUAGCUGUCCCAUGCUUGGUGAGAGAGAAUCCUUUCAGACUCACUACAUAGCCCAGGCUGGCCUUGAACUUGUGGCAGUCCUCCUGCCUCAGCCUCCUGAGGGCUGGGAUUACAGUGUAUGCCAACACCCCUAGCUCUAGGUGUUUUUUUUUUUGUUUGUUUGUUUGUUUUGGAAAUCAAAGAAAAUGUGUUUCACUGGGCUAGAAAGUACACACUCCUUUUUAUUUGAAGGAGAAUAAUGCCUUAUUAAUUCAUACUCUUCUGUUUCUAAGUCAAAUAUGAUUACUUAAAACAAUUUUAUGUUGAUUUUAUGUUCAUUCCAGAAGUUCUUGAUUUCUAAUAACAUUGAUGUGUCUGUAGUUUUUUUAUUUUUAAUAAAAUAAAAAUAAAGUUUUAUAACAACACUUAUUUUGAAUAAAAAGUAAGACUCGGGUACUUUUUAAAAUGUUGUAUUCUUUUUAUCCUGAUGAAAUACUCCAUGAGAGGUGAACUUCUCCGCUUCUGUGGUUUAGAGUUACGUAAAAUAAUUUUUCUCUAUGCAGGUAAUUACCAACCUGACACAUAGUUAGGUUCAUUUUUUUGUUCCUUUUCUUUUCUUUUUUUUUGGUACUGGGAAUCAAACUCACGAUUUUGCACUUGGCCAGGCAGGUGUUUAUGCUGCUGAGCUAAGUCCCUGGGCUUUUUUUUUGUUUGUUUGUUUGUUUGUUUCUAUUUGCAAGGAUUUUUUUUCCAUCUUGGUUUAACUUUACUUUAUAAUCAUAUAGCAUAGCUAUGAGAUUUCAAAUUCAAAACUAUAAAGCAAGUGUGUUUAGAGCGUUUAGCUUCUGUUCCUGUCUCUUGUUUAUUUUCUGUUUUUUCCACCUAUUUUAAAGUUCGAUUUUGUUUUCCUUUCAUUUUUUUAAACUAAAACAGGCGCAUGCAUAGGUGUCCUGCCUCCUUUAGACAAAAGCCUCAUCUUGUAUUCACUAUGCGACGACUCACAAGGACCUGCUUCCUCGACACCGAGUAGCUCUCUUCAUGUGGCCCUGUCACAGUUUGCUCCAGCAGUCCCCUAUUGAUGGAGUUGAGUUUACCAUUUACAAAUUGCAUUGUAAUCCACAGCUGCAUGCAUGUGUCACUUUGCAUUUUGGGUGGGUGAGGGGAACAAGUUGAAUGAAUUUAGAAAGCCUUCAAGGCGCUAGUCUGGGUACACUUACUCCAUAUACAGAUAUUCCCUGGUGCUCAUUAUGGGCCGAAGCCUGUGCUGAUGGGGGUGGGGAGGGAAGGCUGGGAAGAGCGCAGGCACGGCAGGCCUGUUCCCUGCCCUCUGCAGCCCGCGGCUCAGCGUGGCAGCACGUGAGCACGCAUGGUAACAGUUGUGUAAUUAAGAGCAGAUCGGUGAUGUAGGAGAAUGAGACGAGCUUGCGGAAGGGGCCUGAGCAACGGGCAACAGGACAGUUCCUGUAUUUAGUUCUUCAAGGACAAGUGGACCCCUCCAAGUUCCCCGAUUGCGGAAUUUUAGCCUCAAGGGAAUGUCCCAUGCCAAGCCAGACCACUCUGCCUGACUCACUGAUGGGUGACCACCGGUGAAUGUUACACACCCACGAUCCAGUCACCUUCUAGAAGCCCCACCUCUGAACACACUUCUGGACUUCUGGGAACAUUCUAGAUGGAAACCAUCGCUAUAAGUGUUUAUGACAAGGAAGCCACAAAGAAGGUAACCUUCACCGUAUGCCCUUUGGAGGCUGCUUGGCUUUUCCACACAGCUGCUGAAAUCUCACACAUCCUUCCCACAAAGGGGGCUGGGUUCUCUUCACAGCCACAGACGGGACCCCCGGAGGACCCUGGGCCAGGGCUUCCCAGAGCACUAGCAGGACACGCUGUGCUAUCGGAAGUCCAUGAUGGCUAGUGGCUCGUGCUGACAGACAUUAUCUGGACUCUGCUCCCGGGUUCCAGGGCUCCCUUCCUGCCCCUCCCUAUCAGCUACUGACCUGUUACACUUCCUUUACAUAUUGGUGACUUGUCUUCGUUGCUCUAACAAAGUGUUUGAGGCUGGAUACUUUUCAAGGAAGAAAGGUUUGCUUAGCUCAGAUUUGAAGGCUGAGAGUACAAGACAAGGUGGCCCUGCUUUCCUGGCCUGUGGUGCAGGGGCCCUGGCAGCUGCUUCACCCCAUGACUGAUCGAUGGCAUCAUGAUGGGAGCACGAGAGAGACAGAGCGGGGAGUGGGUAAUGGUAAGACAGGAAGCUGGAGAGUGCAGAGGGGCCCAUCUUGUCCUGUGGAUGAUAACCUGCUCUCAUAGCCACUGACCAGGUCCCUUGAGAAUAACACUAGGCCCUCUGAGCGCAGCUUGCACUGUAACUCUUAGAGGUCCUGCUUAGAGGCCAGGCUUCCAGCACACGCUCCUGAGGGACUCAUGGGAACAUGUCCAAACCCCAGGAAAUGGGCCAAUAGCAGAAGGAGAGCACAGGUUCUAGGUCAGACAGAAAUAGUGCUCAGUUCUGCCCCCCAGCCCUCUGGGGUCCAUGCUCUCUGUCCUGUGCACCCCACCAGGUUUGAGGUGGGAAGGACAUUGACUGUGCGGACAGUACCAUAGGGGGACACUCCCUGUGUUGGCUGCCACUGGUGCUGGCAGGGGCUCUGGCCCAGAGGGGAGGGCGGAAAGGGGAAGGCAUAGCCAGGAGAGUGGGGAGAGCCUUGCCUGAGCUUGCAGCAUCCUGGAGGGGCAGAGGGGAGUGGCGCUGCCCCAUCCUGCUGCCCACAUCCUGUCCCUGGGCUCCAGUCUGAGAUGCCUCUUUUCAGCCUGCAUCACAGAGGGGCAGGGGCAGGGCCAGACCACGGGACAUGACAGCUGGGCUGAAUUCCAUAUUUGCCGGGUGCUUGCUGUGGCCUCUGCUAAGUCACUGGCCCUCCUGGGCAGAUUGUUGAACGGGCCUGAUGGUAGCAGCACUGGUCCUGCAGAGUAGAUGGGAAGGUGCUGUCUUGCAGAAUGAUACUAUUUUGUGCAGAGAGAGCCCUUCAAGGCCAUAGCAUGCUUAUUAUUAUUUGUAAAAAGAGAAAAGCGAGAGGAGGAAAGAAAGGAGUUGGUCCCCUUGCCUGCACUACCAAAAUACCAUAGAGGGAGUGGCUUAUACAAAUGGACGUAAAAAUACUUCUCAAGCCCAAGGUCAAGGUGCCGGCAGAUUCUCUGUCUGCUGAGCCUAGGACGGACGAUAUCCAGUGUCGGUCGGCAGCGCCAAGUGGGUUACACGUUUCCUCUUCCAAGUAGGAGCAGACAUGAAAGGGAAGUCCCUUGGAAUGAUUCUGCAGCUCAAGGAAAACUACAUAUCAUCUGCAGGACAUGGAGAAAGAACAGAUCUUCUCUGCAGGAAAGGGAAGGAUGUUUUAGAAAACAUCUGGUUGGUGUCUUCGAGACAGAGGCAAGAGAAUAAGAAUGCUAUGAAAUAGGAAAGGGAACACUUGGGCUCUGGGGUGGGGUGGAGCCACAGCGGUGAGGGUGGCGGAGCUGUGGGUCUCUCCCCAGGGGCACCUGUGCCAGGUGGGGUGGCGUCUCAUGCAGGGAGCCUGAGUGGAGAGCCAUGAACAAGGAGAUGCGGGUGUGGUGGAAUUGCAUGGUGCAUGUUUAAACAGAGCAGAGCCUUGCAGUAAAAAGUACGUUGCCAUGAAUUCUCUACAGAGCACUCCUCUCUUUACGCACACUUACCCCAUGUUCUCACCACUUUCUGAAGCAGCUCUGCAAGUCCUCUUUCCUGAGUGUCUAUGAGGUGAGAUAAAAACCAUGGUGACCGCUGCUGCCCAGUGCCAUCCAGUGGAAAGGCAGGUGAUAGUUACCAAAAUGGCACAGAACCAGUGAUGAGCAGAUGGGGUCUCCUGGAGAUUCCUGUGAGCCAGCGUUGGCUGGAACCGCCAGGUGCCGACACAGCACAACAGGAACCCUUCACGGAGAGGGGAACGGAGGGUGACGUCAGUGUGCAGCCCCGAGGUGGGGUCCUGGAAGGGGAGGGAGGUGAAUGAGGCGACUAGAGCAAAGGCGUGUGGGAUUUGCAGAGCAACAGGCUGUGGGAGGUUGCGGGUUCUCUCAGGGAACAGAAUUAUACCAGUGGCCAGGGUCAAGCGGGUGCACCUCGGAGAGUCAGGAAGGCUUUUGCAGCCGGCUUCUGUCACAGAGCAUCCGAGCUACCGCUGCACACCGCCUAGAACCUCAUUACCGUAACACAGGGCGUGCAGCCGAAACUUAGGGGACUGAUCGUUAUUUUACUGAAACUGUUCCAGAAACUAUUGCAGAAAGAAAGAAAACUUCCAAAUUUUCUUCUGGCGGAGAUGGAAAAAACCUGAUAAAAACUUAAUAAAAAAGUCAUGCUUAAAACAUAAAACUCUAGUACUCUCCCCAGGACAUAUACGUUCGGUGCCGGGUGGACGCCGGUGUGACUUAAAACACGAGAUGCCAAGUUGUGCCUGGAAUUGAGAAAUGCGAGUGUUGGACAGUGAACUCCAGGCCUCGCUCGUGCCUGGCUAGUGCGCAGGCAGCCAGAUACAUGCUGACUUGGGUACGUGUGGCAGAGGGGACCCUGAGGAAGCCAGAGCCAGCUUGAGCCCAGCUCCUUCCUGGAAGCUGGUUCCUGGAACGGGACACCCAGUGGGCCCUGUGACCCUGUGGCUUUAGAACCUUCCCACUGGAGCAUCCCCGGGAUGGCUGCGAAGUCCACCCAGAGCAGGCUGCUGGGGGACUUCUGCAGGCCAGCUGGGCAAGGCAGCUGGUUCAGCUGUUCACACAAGGCUUCGUCCUGAAGACCUGGAAUCUUCUGAGGAAUAAUUCAGAUCUUCCCAGAGGAAGGAGCCACGGUUGGCAUGGGUGGAUCUUUAUUUCAGUGCUUUUACAGUUUUGUCACAUCAUCAAGAGUCACUCUUUGAGGGGCUGGGGAUUUAGCUCAGCGGCAUAAGCCGCCUGCCUUACAUGCAGGCAGUUGUGAGUUUGAUGCCCGGUACCGAUAAAAAGGAAAAAGACAAAAAAAAAAAAAAAAAAAAAAAAAAGAGUCACUCUUUGUUCUGAGAACCUGCCACUCGGCUUUGGUAAAUCAAACAUUUAAACCUCCCAGGGUGCUCUGUUAUGACCUGGAAACUCCUUUCUUGAAGAUGACCCAUGUGCAUUGAGAGACUGGUGGUACAGUGUCACCUUCCCAGGGGACCCCAAAGCCUGUCUUGUUGCAGAGACACGGAGGCUUUCCCCAGCGUCGUGUAAUCCCUGGGGAUAGGUGUGCACAGCCCACGGUGCAGGUGUGAUGUGGGCCGUGCACCACCAACAUGUGUUAGCAAACCCAGACAA